rnacentral:tRNA from 1 species
AAUGAGGUGUCUGAUUAUAGAGUUAUUUUGAUAGAGUAAAACAAGUGGCUGUCCACCCUCAUUA